UGAUGAAGAACGUGGCAAGCUGCGAUAUGCUUGGGGGAGCUGCAUGCAAGCUUUGAUCCCAAGAUUUUUGAAUCACUCCGAGAGGAGAAAAGACGCCGGGGAUUGAAACAUCUUAGUACCGGCAGGAAAAGAAAACAAAUCAUGUGAUAUCCUUAAUAGCAGAGAGCGAAAAGGACAUAGGGCAAGCUGAAUCUUUCCUUGAAAAAGGAAUAGAAAUGUGGUGGAGAUAAAUAUCUAAGUUUUUGAUUCAAACUUUUCUGGAACGAAAGACCCAAGAGGGUGAUAGUCCCGUAGAUGAAAAGAAUAUGAUAUUCUCUAAAAGAGUAGGGCUUCCUGGAUUGGAGGUCUGAAUAUGGCAGGAUUAACUGCUAACCCUAAAUAAAACCAAAGUCCGAUAGCGCACUAGUACCGCGAGGGAAAGCUGAAAAGUACUUAUAAUAGAGAGUUAAAAGACUUGAAAUCUAUCAGUUACAGUUAGUUACUGCUUUAGGCAAUUUAUUUUGUCAGGGUUGUAACGUACGUUUCGAAGAACGGGCCAGGGAGUUAUUCUAUAUGGCAAGGCUAAUCUUUUUAAUGAGUAACCAAAGCGAAAGCAAGUCUGAAAAGGCGUUAGUCAUAUGGAUUAGACCUGAAGCCGAGUGAUCUAUUCAUGGACAAGGUGAAGUCUUUCGAAAGGAGGAUGGAGGCCUGAACUAGUGCUAUGGACAUGUGCUUAGAUGAUCUGUGAAUAGGGGUGAAAAGCCUAUCUAACUCGGCUAUGGCUGGUUCCUGCUGAAAUAUGCCUACGUAUAGUCUUGUUUUGUUUGUUAACGGUGUAAAGCACGGAUAAGUUUUGCAGGGACUAUUGUCUACGAAAACUUUUCCAACUCAGAAAUUGUUAACUGCUUAAAACAGGAAUCAGGUGCAGUAUGUAAGAUACUGUUCCGAGACCCGAACAAGGGAGACUAAAGUUAAGGUCCCAAAAUUCAUGUUAAGUGUUUUGAAAGGUGUCUUGAACCUGAGACACUAGGGAUGUAAGCUUAGAAGCAGCUAUCUUUUAAAGAAAGCGUAACAGCUCACCUAUCGAGGUUCAGGGCCCUGAAAAUGGACGGGGCUAAACAUGAUACCGAUACUUUAGAGACACUCAGAAGAGUGAUCUGGUAAGCAGGCGUGCUUUCUGCAAAGAAUAUUCUCCGAGAGGAGGAUUGGAGCGGGAAGCAAUGAGAAUCCUGGUGGUAGUAGGAUGUGACUCUCCUGAGAAUGGAGAGUGUCGAAAGAGCAAGGUUUCCUUGGCAAUAUUUGUUAGCCAAGGGUUAGUCAGUACCUAAGUUGUGUCUUAACUGAGCACGACGAUUGGACAACAGGUUAAUAUUCCUGUACUAAUUAAAUCUUAUACAGUGCGGUUUGUUUUUGGAUAAGUGAGCACCCUUCGGGGUGUUCUGGUAAAGAAAUCUGUCGAGCGUAAUGCACAGACACAAAUGAAUUUAUCAGACAAAAUUGCUGACUCCAAGAACCAGUGAAAAGACUGCACUCUUGGUUUAAUUAACUGUACCCAUAUUCAGCACUGAUGCUCAAGCUUAAUAGGCUAAGACAUGAAGGAUAAAACCAACUGAGGGAAUUCGGCAAGUUAGUCCUGUAGCUUAGGCUGAAAGGAUGUCUAUCUUUGUGUAUUUUCGAAAGUUGUAUGCAUUGAUAGAUCACAGUAACGAGGACGGCCCGACUGUUUACCAAAAACGUAGCCAAGUGCUAAUCUGAAAAGACUUGUAUACUUGGUGAGACCUGCCCAGUGGUGGUGUCUGAAACUUCUUUUCAAGGGAGCUAAGGCCCAUCAAACGGCGGGGGUAACUAUGACCCUCUUAAGGUAACGUAAUACCUUGUCGUCUGAAUGGCGACUUGCAUGAAUGGUUUAACGAGGUUGUUACUGUCCCCAGUUGGAGACCUCUGAACACAUUGUCCGGUGAAAAGACCGGAGACACCUAGUGGGAAGCGAAGACCUUGUGGAACUUUACUGCAACUUGUUGUUGUGGUUUUGAAAUAAAUGCACAGAAUAAGUAGGAGUUUUGAAGCAGCCAUUCCGGUGGCUGUGGAGCGACUGUGUAAUACUACUCAUUUAUUUUAAGACUGCUUACUCUUUUAGAGAACAGCAGCAGGCGGGCAGUUUGGCUGGGGCGGCGCCCUGUCGAAAAAAUAUCGAUAGGACCCAAAGAUAGACUCAUCUAGCUUGGAAAUCUAGAGUUGAGUGCGAGGGCAAAAGUCUAUCUAACUGUAUUCUGACCAGCAAGGAAUGCAGAGGCGAAAGCCGGGCCUAGUGAACCCACAUGCUUUUUUAAUAGAAGCUGUGUCUGAUAGAAAAGUUACCCCAAGGAUAACAGGCUUGUCGCCCCCGAUAGUCCGUAUUGACGGGGCGGUUUGGUACAUCGCUGUCGGCUCUUCCUAUCCUGCGCGUGCAGAAGCGUGCAAGGGUGUCGGAGUUCACGCAUUAAAAGGGAUCGUUAGCUGGGUUAAGAACGUCGCGAGACAGUUUGUAUGAUAUCUACUAGGUGUGUAGUUGUCUGAGUGGAACAAGUUUCUAGUACGAGAGGAACGGGACUUGGAUGCCUCUGGUGAGCAGUUGUCAAAUGGCAGGCUGCAUAGCUACGCAUUGUACGAAUAAGAGCUGAAAGCAUCUAAGCUCGAAGUCGUCCGCAAAACGAGACAACUAAGGCCGUUAUAGAAGAUAACGUUGAUAGAGUUAUUGUGUAAG
rnacentral:rRNA from 1 species